UACGGAGGGUGCAAGCGUUGCUCGGAAUCACUGGGCGUAAAGCGCCCGCAGGCGGCCUGACAAGUCGGAUGUGAAGGCCCUGGGCUCAACUCAGGAAUUGCAUUCGAAACUGGCAGGCUUGAGUACGGGAGAGGGGGGUGGAAUUCCUGGUGUAGUGGUGAAAUGCGUAGAUAUCGGGAGGAAUACCAGUGGCGAAGGCGGCCUUCUGGGCCGUUCCUGACGCUCAGACGCGAAAGCUAGGGGAGCAAACGGG
rnacentral:rRNA from 1 species